UCUUCUAAUUUGCUGCCUUUUUUUUUUUAUAAGCAAAAAAUUGAAUUAUAAGGAGUACAAGGGGUACUCAUCCCUUACAAUUCAAAUAAAAUCACCCUAGACAGACUAAAGGAUUGUUACACCAGUCAGAAAAUGCUAAAUUAACAUUAUUCCCUAAUCGCCCUAAAAGCCAAAACCAAGAAAUGUAAAUAAUUUUGUUCACUAAAGAAGAUACAUUAAUUAACUCAAUCUCCUCUAAAUACAAUAUUAUUUCGAAAGCACCCAGUUAACAUCUUUGUGCCCCCAUAGGUUGUGAAUGAGAAAAUUAUCGCUUUCUUUGUUUCUUGAAGUAAACAAACAUCGAAAACACCUUUUUGAAGAAACAAACUCAACUGCCGCUGUUUAGCACUUUCACCCCACUCUCUCAUAUUCAAAGAGACGAUCUUCAAUGAUGGAGAGAUUGUUGUUGCUCCCUCCUAAAUAUCAUAUUCAUAAUUAUCAUAUUAGUAGAGCAUUUUUUUAUUGAAGAAUAACUAUAAUGCUUCUGUAUUUUUUUUGAACGGCCAAAUGAUAUUUAUAUUUAAAAAACGAAUUGGAAAAAAGUACAAGUGGUACUCAAUUCAUUUCUAAAGAAAAAGUACAAAUAGUACUCCACCCAAUCCGAAGAAACCAUACCCAAAACUAUCAGCUAUACAAUCAAAAGGAUUCGUACACCACUCAUAAAACAAGCAAGGUGUACCAAUCUUUUUUGCCAAAAGCCAUUUUUAAGAAACAAGCUUAAUUCUAUCCACCAUCUCUUGUAGCUCUACAAUUCUCCCCAAAAAAAUCCUAUCAUUCCGAGAGCGCCAUAAAGUCCAAAUGUUGGGAUGAUUGACAUAUAGUAGAUGCAUCAUUUUCUAUAAUUCUAGAGAGAUUUGAAGAAUUGGAACGAAUGUGACACAUAUAGUCCUUGUGUGACCGGUGGCAAUGUGGCCUUCGGUUUUCCCGAUUCCAUGAUAUUUUUUUAGUUUGAGUUGCUUUUGGUUUUCCAUUUGAUGAAGUGAAUGGUGCCCUUAUCGUACUUCUUAUGGUUAUCUAACUAAGACAUUAAUUUGUUCUUCACAAUUUGACAUGCCUGCAGUACAUGCAGCAACCAAAAUAUUUCACAGUUUUGAAAUCGUAACUCUAGGAAUAACAUAGAUCUAAUAAUAUUGUGAUGAUUCAAUUUCUAUAUCAAUUGUUUUUAUAACAAUAUGCUAAUUCAUAUUUUUCUUUUGUGUUUUCGAAUUAAUUAUUGUCUAAAAAAAAUAAAAAUUUAAUGUGUUCAUCAUCUUCUUCUGUGUAUUCAUAAUCUUCAUCACCAUGUGUUCAUCAUUUUCACCAAUUUCAUCAAAAUCCCAAAAAUUUAAAAAACACUGUUGUCAAAAUUAAUUAACUCAAACAAAUCAAAAUUAUUUUCGGUAAACCUUAAACAUAUUCAUCAUCUUCAAAAAUCAAAAUCCCUAAAUUGAUCAUAUUGCAUGAUACUCUACUACUUGAAGUAAGGUUUUGCUUAUCAAACAAUAUUAUUUUUAAUUUGUGAUUUUUCGUUUUCUAUCAUGAAAGCUUAUAAACUAAUUAAAGAAAAUUUGUUAAAAAAUAUGAAUUAUUUAAAUUUGUAUAUUUUACAUGACCUCUUUACAAAAGUUGUUAAAGGGGCAACACAUUGGUGUACUUAAUUAAGAGACAGCUAAUAAUUAUAAACAAAAAAUGGAAGUUUUUCACAACUCUGAAAGUACUAUAAAAACUAUUUAUUAAUUGAUGUAAGGAGAACAAUAGCUUUAUAAAUCAAGACGUGAUAAAGUACAAUUCUAUGUAAUACAUCCAAAAGGUGGAGAAAAUAUGGAUAAAAUUUUCAAGUUUGUUAAUGUUGUGAUAAUCAUUCUUUCCCUAUUACUUGUUUCAAUACAAAGUCAGGUUUAUGCUGCCAAGCCAUGUAAAACUGAUGGUGAUUGUCGAGUCCGUUCCUACCGUGCUUCCCAUCAAUAUCCUGUAAGAAUGAGGUGUCGUAAUGGUUUUUGUAUAGAAGGCUAAUUAUAAACGUAUUACUAAAAUAUUCCAUGAAUUCUUCUUUAGGUGAUGUGAUCACCCAUUAAAUAAAUUUUCUUUUAGCUUUUCUAAUUUCAAAUACCUUAUUAGUUUUGUACUUUAAGAUGAUGUAAGCGAAAUGAAAUAAAGCAUGAAAAAUAUUAUCUAAAUUUUCUUCUUCUA